AAGGGAGACCUAAUUCAGGUAGGAGACGAAAAAAAAGUAGUCCCAACCAAGAAUCAAUCCCAAAAGGUCGGAGCGAGGCGAAAUUGGCUUUCAAACUAGGUUCUGGGUUCAAACAAGACCUGAAUCAGGAACAAGGGCUAUUAGCUCAGGUGGUUAGAGCGCACCCCUGAUAAGGGUGAGGUCCCUGGUUCGAGUCCAGGAUGGCCCACCUGCACAGGUGGCAAAAACAAGAGAAGCGAGGAAUCAGCACCUUAUCUUAUCUAUAUAUAAGAGAGAAUGCUGGCUCUGAGUAAAGAGUCCAGAGGAACCUUGAAAACUGCAUAGAGCUAGGUGAAAAAGCCAAAAAAGAAGACCGCAA
rnacentral:tRNA from 1 species